rnacentral:rRNA from 1 species
CCUACGGGGGGCUGCAGUAGGGAAUAUUGGACAAUGGGCGCAAGCCUGAUCCAGCCAUCCCGCGUGAAGGAUUAAGGCCCUCUGGGUUGUAAACUUCUUUUCUCUGGGAAUAAAAAGUGGGGUUCUCCCUACCUUGAAGGUACCAGAGGAAUAAGCACCGGCUAACUCCGUGCCAGCAGCCGCGGUAAUACGGAGGGUGCAAGCGUUAUCCGGAUUCACUGGGUUUAAAGGGUGCGUAGGUGGCUUUGUAAGUCAGUGGUGAAAGCCCGGAGCUCAACUCCGGAACUGCCAUUGAUACUGCUUAGCUUGAAUCAACUUGAGGUGGAUGGAAUAUUACAUGUAGCGGUGAAAUGCUUAGAUAUGUAAUAGAACACCGAUUGCGAAGGCAGUUCACUAAGGUUGUAUUGACACUGAGGCACGAAAGCGUGGGGAUCAAACAGGAUUAGAUACCCCUGUAGUC